rnacentral:rRNA from 1 species
ACUCAAAGGAAUUGACGGGGGCCCGCACAAGCGGUGGAGCAUGUGGUUUAAUUCGAUGCAACGCGAAGAACCUUACCUGGGUUUGACAUCCGGAGACAGUCCUAGAGAUAGGAUCUCCCCUUCGGGGGCUCCGAGACAGGUGCUGCAUGGCUGUCGUCAGCUCGUAUCGUGAGAUGUCGGGUUAAGUCCCUUAACGAGCGCAACCCUUGUCCUUAGUUGCCACCAUUUAGUUGGGCACUCUAUGGAGACUGCCGGCGUUAAGCCGGAGGAAGGCGGGGAUGACGUCAAGUCCUCAUGGCCUUUAUAUCCAGGGCUACACACGUGCUACAAUGGCCGGUACAAAGGGUCGCCAACCCGCGAGGGGGAGCUAAUCCCAGAAAGCCGGUCUUAGUUCGGAUCGAAGUCUGCAAUUCGACUUCGUGAAGCUGGAAUCGCUAGUAAUCGCGGAUCAGAACGCCGCGGUGAAUACGUUCCCGGGCCUUGCACACACCGCCCGU